UUGGGGUAUAGGUUAGUUUUAUGCCCCUAUAUGCUUGGAAAUGUGUUUAUGCAUGUUUUAGUAUAGUUUUGUUACUUGUUGGGUUGUUAUGGGUGGCUGGAUUGGCAAGGCAGAACCGGGUUCUGCCCUUUGGAAGAGCCCAGGUUCGGCCGCUGAAGCCAGUUUCGACCGCCGAACCUGCUUGUGGAGGCAGUUUGGCCGCCUAAACUCGCCCCUGAAAGUUUGA
rnacentral:lncRNA from 1 species